rnacentral:rRNA from 1 species
ACCCUAUCAAACUUUACUUUAGUUUAACUGGGGCAGUUAAUUAAUAAAAAUUUUAAUAAAGAUUAAGUACUAAAUAGANNNCCCAACANUAGUUGAUUACANUGAACAAGUUACUGUAGGGAUAACAGCGUAAUAUAUAUCUAAAGUUCUUAUUUUGAUAUAAGUUUGCGACCUCGAUGUUGAAUUNAUAUUACUUUCAAGCGCAAGAGCCUGAAAAGUGGGUCUGUUCGACCCCUAAAUAUAUACAUGAUUUGAGUUCAAAUCGGUGUAAACCAGAUUGGUUUCUAUCUAUUNUUAUUUGUGUCUUAGUACGAAAGGACCUGAAACAAUAUUAUAUAAUNAUUUAUAUGGCAGAAAAAUGCUUUAGAUUUAGGAUCUAAUUAUAAUAGAUUAUUAUACUCUAUUUAACUUGCCUAAUCUCUGUUAUUAGAAUCCUUAUCGCAGUAGCUUUUUAUACCCUCCUAGAGCGAAAAAUUCUAAGCUACAUCCAAAUU